GAUGAACGCUGGCGGCGUGCCUAAUACAUGCAAGUCGAGCGAACAGACGAGGAGCUUGCUCCUCUGACGUUAGCGGCGGACGGGUGAGUAACACGUGGAUAACCUACCUAUAAGACUGGGAUAACUUCGGGAAACCGGGGCUAAUACCGGAUAAUAUAUUGAACCGCAUGGUUCAAUAGUGAAAGACGGUUUUGCUGUCACUUAUAGAUGGAUCCGCGCCGCAUUAGCUAGUUGGUAAGGUAACGGCUUACCAAGGCAACGAUGCGUAGCCGACCUGAGAGGGUGAUCGCGCACACUGGAACUGAGACACGGUCCAGACUCCUACGGGAGGCAGCAGUAGGGAAUCUUCCGCAAUGGGCGAAAGCCUGACGGAGCAACGCCGCGUGAGUGAUGAAGGUCUUCGGAUCGUAAAACUCUGUUAUUAGGGAAGAACAAAUGUGUAAGUAACUAUGCACGUCUUGACGGUACCUAAUCAGAAAGCCACGGCUAACUACGUG
rnacentral:rRNA from 1 species